rfam:Gossypium arboreum cultivar AKA8401 contig_29847_1, whole genome shotgun sequence.
UGUUAAAAAUUCCAUCAAUUUAUAUUGUAAAAAAUUGGUGCAAUUUGUAGAAUAACCAAAUAGUGACACAUGAUAUGUCAUGUAUACCUAAACUAACUUUUAAUGAUACAAAUAGAUGUAAUUUUUAUCA